rfam:Triticum aestivum genome assembly, contig: Triticum_aestivum_CS42_TGACv1_scaffold_328419_4BS
CUUAUACUCCCUCCGUCCGGAAAUACUCGUCAUCAAAAUGAUGAAAAUGGAUGUAUCUACAACUAAAAUACAUCUAGAUACAUUCAUUUCAAUGACGAGUAUUUCCGGACGGAGGGAGUAUUUA